CAGGUGGAUCACUGGCCUGCAGAGGGUGCUCUGGAGCUGGAACCAAGCUAAUUCCUGAAGUCUCCAGCAGGAGGCACUGCAGGGAGUCUGGUUCUUCUGCUGGGCUGUAAUAAAAACCUUCUUCAGCUCUCUGGGGUCAAAGCAGGUGCCAACUCUAGUGCUGACAGAUCUGUUCUUGUUACCUUGCUUUCUGGAUUGAUGCCCAGCAUUUCUCUGUAUCAGCCAGAUCCUCCUUUAAAACUUGGUGGGGAACCUGAGAUACAGAGAUGUGAACUGAUGUGCCCAAG